GCGAACGGGUGAGUAAUGCAUCGGAACGUGCCCAUGUUGUGGGGGAUAACUACGCGAAAGCGUGGCUAAUACCGCAUACGCCCUGAGGGGGAAAGCGGGGGAUUCUUCGGAACCUCGCGCAAUUGGAGCGGCCGAUGUCAGAUUAGCUUGUUGGUGAGGUAAAGGCUCACCAAGGCGACGAUCUGUAGCGGGUCUGAGAGGAUGAUCCGCCACACUGGGACUGAGACACGGCCCAGACUCCUACGGGAGGCAGCAGUGGGGAAUUUUGGACAAUGGGGGCAACCCUGAUCCAGCCAUGCCGCGUGAGUGAAGAAGGCCUUCGGGUUGUAAAGCUCUUUCAGCCGGGAAGAAAACGCACGUUAGGGCAUAGCGUGUGGAUGACGGUACCGGACCAAGAAGCAUAAACGGACUACGUGCCAGCAGCCGCGGUAAUA
rnacentral:rRNA from 1 species